CCUACGGGAGGCAGCAGUGAGGAAUAUUGGUCAAUGGACGAGAGUCUGAACCAGCCAAGUAGCGUGAGGGAAGACUGCCCUAUGGGUUGUAAACUUCUUUUGUCUGGGAAUAAAAUGUUCCACGUGUGGCAUUUUGUAUGUACCAGAUGAAAAAGGAUCGGCUAACUCCGUGCCAGCAGCCGCGGUAAUACGGAGGAUCCGAGCGUUAUCCGGAUUUAUUGGGUUUAAAGGGUGCGUAGGUGGAGGGUGAAGUCAGUCGUGAAAGUUUGCGGCUCAACCGUCAAAUGGCAGUUGAAACUGGUAGCCUUGAGUACACUAGAGGUGGGCGGAAUGCGUGGUGUAGCGGUGAAAUGCUUAGAUAUCACGCAGAACUCCGAUUGCGAAGGCAGUUCACUGGCGUGCAACUGACACUGAGGCUCGAAAGUGUGGGUAUCAAACAGGAUUAGAUACCCGUGUAGUC
rnacentral:rRNA from 1 species